GAGCUAUUAGCUCAGCUGGUAGAGCAUCUGACUUUUAAUCAGAGGGUCAGAGGUUCGAAUCCUCUAUGGCUCA
rnacentral:tRNA from 1 species